AUUGAACGCUGGCGGCAGGCCUAACACAUGCAAGUCGAGCGAGCGGCGGACGGGUGAGUAAUGUCUGGGAAACUGCCUGAUGGAGGGGGAUAACUACUGGAAACGGUAGCUAAUACCGCAUACCAUCAGAUGUUCCCAGAUGGGUUUAGCUAGUAGGUGGGGUAACGGCUCACCUAGGCGACGAUCCCUCGCUGGCCUGGGAGGAUGACCAGCCACACGGGAACGGGGAAACGGUCCAGACUCCUACGGGAGGCAGAAGUGGGGAAUAUUGCACAAUGGGCGCAAGCCUGAGGCAGCCAUGCCGCGGGUGUGAAGAAGGCCUUCGGGUUGUAAAGCACUUUCAGCGGGGAGGCGUUACCCGCAGAAGAAGCACCGGCUAACUCCGUGCCAGCAGCCGCGGUAAUUC
rnacentral:rRNA from 1 species